AGGUAGAGGAAAAUUCUCAAGCUGUUAUAACCCAGCCCGUACUGUAGCAUUUUAAAAGAUCAAGCACUGUAGCGAAGAUACUGUAGCAACCCGAAAAAUAAUUCUUUUAAAAUCUUCAGCCCUUCUCUUCCAUUUCCCUUGCAUGGCUUGUUAUAAACCCUAGCCAUUUCUUCCUCCUCUUCUUGCCUCUUGUUGGAUAAGGUAAAUUAGUAGCAGUAGAGAGGAUGAGAAGAGAAGAUUGCAAGUUUUAGUACAUCUCUGUUCCUGGCUCGCCCAGCUAGGAGCAGUAAGUCCUAGCUAUGUGCACAUAUUUUCUGUAGUAGCGCUAUCCUUUGACUGCGGUCGAAGAUCUGGCUACGGCCGUUGAUAUUCUGUUCUGUUCUGUUCUGACUUCAUAAUCGAAGAUCCAGUCUCAUGCUAUUGAUUUAUGUUAUUAGUCAGGGAGAUGUACAAGUCUGUUUUUGCAUAUUUUCUGUAUUUCUGACUAUCUCUGUCUUUUAAGCAUUUUCUGUGUCUGACUAUGUCAGUCUGUAUUCCGAGCAUUUUAUGUAUUUUCAUUCCACUAUUAUUCUGCUAUUUUCCAUUCAUUUAUUAUUAUUAUUACCACUUCUGAAAUUCUUGUUGCAGUUUGUUCGGAAGUUUUAUGUUUGGUAUUGUUUACUUAACCAAUUUCCGUAUUCUGCUGGUAUUUGUGAGUUUUCCUCU